rnacentral:rRNA from 1 species
AUUGAACGCUGGCGGCAUGCCUUACACAUGCAAGUCGAACGGCAGCACGGGGGCAACCCUGGUGGCGAGUGGCGAACGGGUGAGUAAUAUAUCGGAACGUGCCCUGGAGUGGGGGAUAGCUCGGCGAAAGCCGGAUUAAUACCGCAUACGAUCUAAGGAUGAAAGUGGGGGAUUCGCAAGAACCUCAUGCUCCUGGAGCGGCCGAUAUCUGAUUAGCUAGUUGGUGGGGUAAAAGCCUACCAAGGCGACGAUCUGUAGCUGGUCUGAGAGGACGACCAGCCACACUGGAACUGAGACACGGUCCAGACUCCUACGGGAGGCAGCAGUGGGGAAUUUUGGACAAUGGGGGCAACCCUGAUCCAGCAAUGCCGCGUGUGUGAAGAAGGCCUUCGGGUUGUAAAGCACUUUUGGCGGGAACGAAACGGUUUGGGCUAAUACCCUGGACUAAUGACGGUACCCGCAGAAUAAGCACCGGCUAA